CUCCACACUUUGAGGCAGCAGCAGCUGAAUAUUUUACUGUUUUAUGUUCGAGAAAAGAGAAACUCUGGUUUAAUAAAUGUUUCUUAUUCUGAAUCUUUCAAACAUGAAAUGAUAAAGAAAAUAAAUGUUCUUUAUUUCCACAGAGAGACACAGAGAUGUGACUCUGUGGAGGAGCAGCUGUCCAGCUCUGAUGGAAGUAAGUCUGAACAUCUGUCCUCUAAAGUCUGUGUGGAUGAAAACUCAGCUGACUGAUUUUCACAAAGACGUUUUAGUGUUGAGAAGUUUGGUUCAUUUUAUUUUUCUUCUCUUUCAGAAGAUGGUGGUCUGCAGGAGGUUUUAGAUGAACAUAAGAUCAGUCUGAAGAGGAGAUGUGAACGUGUGAAUGAAGGAAGUGAUGAAACAGGAAGUAGUCAAACCCUCCUCAACAGGAUCUUCACUGAGCUCUACAUCACAGAGGGACUGAGUGAAGAGGUGAACACCCAACAUGAGGUGAGACAGCUGGAGACAGCUUCAAAGAUGAAGACCCUCCAUGACACGCCCAUCAGGUGUCAUGAGAUCUUUCAAACCUUACCUGACCAACAGAAGAAGCUCAUCAGAGUGGUUCUGACCAACGGUGUGGCUGGUGUUGGAAAAACCUUCUCAGUGCAGAAGUUCACUCUGGACUGGGCAGAGGGUUUGGAGAACCAAGACCUCCAUCUGGUGGUCCUGCUUUCAUUCAGGGAGCUGAACCUGAUCAGAGAUGAGCGCUUCAGUCUUCUGAAUCUGCUCCAUGUUUUCCAUCCAACACUAGAGAAGGUCACAGCAGAGACGCUGGCUGUCUGUAAACUUCUGUUCAUCUUUGACGGUCUGGAUGAAAGCAGACUGUCUCUGGAUUUCACAGACUCUGAGGUGGUGUCUGACGUCACACAGAAGUCUUCACUCAACGUUCUGUUAACAAACCUCAUCAAGGGGAACCUGCUCCCCUCAGCUCUCAUCUGGAUAACUUCUCGACCUGCAGCAGCCAAUCAGAUCCCUCCUUCAUGUGUGGACAGGGUGACAGAAGUACGAGGCUUCACUGACGCCCAGAAGGAUGAGUACUUCAGGAAGAGGUUCAGAGAUAAAGAUCUGUCCAGAAGAAUCAUCUCACACAUCAAGUCCUCCAGGAGCCUCCACAUCAUGUGUCAGAUCCCGGUCUUCUGCUGGAUCACUGCGACAGUUCUGGAGGACAUGAUGAUCAGAGAGCAGAGAGGAGAACUGCCCAAGACCCUGACUGACAUGUACUCACACUUCCUGCUGGUCCAGACUAAGAGGAAGAAGCAGAAGUAUGAAGGAGGACAUGAGACAAGUCCUCAGGAGCUGACGAAGGCUGACAGAGAAGUCCUCCUGAAGCUGGGGAGGCUGGCCUUUGAACAUCUGGAGAGAGGAAACAUCAUGUUCUACCAAGAAGACCUGGAGCGGUGUGGUCUGGAUGUCUCAGAGGCCUCGGUGUACUCAGGAGUUUGUACAGAGAUCUUCAGAAGAGAGAGUGUGAUCUUCCAGAAAACUGUUUACUGUUUCGUUCAUCUGAGCGUUCAGGAGUUUCUGUCUGCAGUCUACAUGAUCCACAGUUUCACAAACAGGAACACAGAAGCUCUGGAGACUUUCCUAAACACAGAAGAUCUGAAGACUUUCCUAAGAGACAACAAACACAAAGAC
rnacentral:lncRNA from 1 species